GUAUUCUCCCGUUUUCCACCGCCUCCUCGAAUUCCUUUUUUUCAUCUUAUCAGAUUCUAGAUUUUUUACCCCCCUUGCCACGAUUUUGCUCUUAUCGGAUUCUAAUAUUUUUUAAGAUUUCUUCACUGCUUCCACCGCUUGCUCCUUUGUACAAGAACUAUCUUCAUUUUUUUUAUUUUCUCCUGUUUUGCUUGUUUAUUAGAAUCUGAUUUUGUUUUUUGUCUUCUCUAUCGCUUCGACCGCUUGCCACUUCGUAUAAGAGUAAAUUUCAUCUUCUUUAUUUUCCAUUGUUUGCUAUCUGAUAAAAUUAAGAGCUCCUGUUUAAACGUUCCCAAAUCUGUUCCUCUGACUCUGGAUUCUAAAUUUGCCUCUCAGCUCUCCAAUUUCACAGAUGGUCGUCGAUGUUCUGCGCACCAAACCUUUUUGUCAACGACCCAGAGGAGUGGCUUACUGUUGUAUUUUUCUAAUUUUCUUUUUGUUAAGAACCAAGAAAGAAAAUUCGUGGCUUAAAACAGAUCACUUUUAAAAUAAAA